AGUUUGUUUCACCGGUUAACAGAAGGACAAGCCUCCACGUCGAUACAAGCAAAUCAACCCAUUUCGUUUGACAAGUACUAAUUGCACACGUCGAUAGAAUCAUAUCUUGUCACCACAUAGCAAGGAAGGCAUCUCCAUUUCGUUUGACAAGAAGGACAAGCCUCCACGUCGAUACAAGCAAAUCAACCCAUUUCGUUUGACAAGGGCACUCUUCUUGUUAUGGAUCAGAUAGGAUACAAUGCUGGUCGCACACCAUUCACAGACAUCUCAAACACCAUCAUUACAGGUAAUCAAAAUGAAUCGAACUCGCUUGGACCAAUUGUUGAUGCUAAGGAACGUAAGAGGCAAAGGGAUAGGGAAAGAUAUGCUGCGAUGACUGUUGAAGAAAAGAAUGAGAAAAAUAGGAAGCGUCGUGAAGCACGUCAACGAAAUAAAGGACUAUCGAUAGAGCCACUCUCAUCCAGAGACUUUAAUACGGACUAGGCAUGUGAGGUGGUUAGCUUUCCAGAUGACUGUAGCACCAUUGAUUUCACAAAUUUGUCAACACAAGAC